rnacentral:rRNA from 1 species
CCUACGGGGGGCUGCAGUGGGGAAUAUUGGACAAUGGGGGGAACCCUGAUCCAGCCAUGCCGCGUGUGUGAAGAAGGCCCUCGGGUUGUAAAGCACUUUCAGUGAGGAAGAACGCCUGGUGGUUAAUACCCAUCAGGAAAGACAUCACUCACAGAAGAAGCACCGGCUAACUCCGUGCCAGCAGCCGCGGUAAUACGGAGGGUGCGAGCGUUAAUCGGAAUUACUGGGCGUAAAGCGCGCGUAGGUGGCUUGAUAAGCCGGUUGUGAAAGCCCCGGGCUCAACCUGGGAACGGCAUCCGGAACUGUCAAGCUAGAGUGCAGGAGAGGAAGGUAGAAUUCCCGGUGUAGCGGUGAAAUGCGUAGAGAUCGGGAGGAAUACCAGUGGCGAAGGCGGCCUUCUGGACUGACACAGACACUGAGGUGCGAAAGCGUGGGUAGCAAACAGGAUUAGAUACCCUGGUAGUC